GAGUUUGAUCCUGGCUCAGGAUAAACGCUGGCGGCGUGCAUAAUGCAUGCAAGUCGAACGGGAGUAGCAAUACUACGAGUGGCAAACGGGUGAGUAACACGUGGGAACCUGCCCAGAAGUGGGGAAUAACUCCUCGAAAGAGGGGCUAAUACCGCAUAAUAUCGCAAGAUGAAAGCAGAGAUGCGCUUUUGGAGGGGCCUGCGGCUGAUUAGCUAGUUGGUGGGGUAAAAGCCUACCAAGGCGACGAUCAGUAGCUGGUCUGAGAGGAUGGUCAGCCACACUGGGACUGAGAAACGGCCCAGACUCCUACGGGAGGCAGCAGCAAGGAAUUUUCGGCAAUGGGGGAAACCCUGACCGAGCAACGCCGCGUGGGCGAAGAAGUCUUUCGGGAUGUAAAGCCCUUUUCUGUGGGAAGAAAAAGUGACGGUACCACAGGAAGAAGCAUCGGCUAACUAAGUGCCAGCAGCCGCGGUAAUACGUAGGAUGCAAGCGUUAUCCGGAUUCACUGGGCGUAAAGGGCGCGCAGGCGGAUGGCCAAGUCUUUCGUGAAAGCCCCCGGCUAAACCGGGGAGGUGCGGAAGAUACUGGUCAGCUGGAGUGCAGCAGAGGAUAGUGGAAUUCCCGGUGUAGUGGUGAAAUGCGUAGAUAUCGGGAGGAACACCAGUGGCGAAAGCGACUAUCUGGGCGUGCACUGACGCUGAGGCGCGAAGGCUAGGGUAGCAAACAGGAUUAGAUACCCUGGUAGUCCUAGCAGUAAACGAUGAAUACUAGGUGUGGGGGGGAUAUUGAAGCCCUCCGUGCCGCAGCUAACGCAUUAAGUAUUCCGCCUGGGGAGUACGACCGCAAGGUUAAAACUCAAAGGAAUUGACGGGGACCCGCACAAGCAGCGGAGCGUGUGGUUUAAUUCGACGCAACGCGAAGAACCUUACCAGGGUUUGACAUCUAUAGUUGUUCAGGGGCGGAAAAGUCCUGGCCGCAGGGCGAAGUAGACAGAUGCUGCAUGGCUGCCGUCAG
rnacentral:rRNA from 1 species